CAGCAGCCGCGGGAAUACGGAGGAUCCAAGCGUUAUCCGGAAUCAUUGGGUUUAAAGGGUCCGUAGGCGGUCUUGAAGUCAGUGGUGAAAGCCCAUCGCUCAACGGUGGAACGGCCAUUGAUACUGCAGGACUUGAAUUAUUGGGAAGUAACUAGAAUAUGUAGUGUAGCGGUGAAAUGCUUAGAGAUUACAUGGAAUACCAAUUGCGAAGGCAGGUUACUACCAAUUGAUUGACGCUGAUGGACGAAAGCGUGGGUAGCGAACAGGAUUAGAUACCCCAGUAGUCCCUGUCUCUUAUACA
rnacentral:rRNA from 1 species